rnacentral:rRNA from 1 species
GACGUAGGGCGCAAGCGUUGUCCGGAUUUAUUGGGCGUAAAGAGCUCGUAGGCGGUGUGUCGCGUCGGCCGUGAAAACCUGCAGCUUAACUGUGGGCUUGCGGUCGAUACGGGCAUCACUGGAGUUCGGCAGGGGAGACUGGAAUUCCUGGUGUAGCGGUGAAAUGCGCAGAUAUCAGGAGGAACACCGGUGGCGAAGGCGGUUCUCUGGGCAUUACCUGACGCUGAGGAGCGAAAGUGUGGGGAGCGAACAGG